UACGAAGGGAGCUAGCGUUGUUCGGAAUCACUGGGCGUAAAGCGCACGUAGGCGGAUGUGUCAGUCAGGGGUGAAAUCCCGGAGCUCAACUUCGGAACUGCCCUUGAUACAGCACGUCUUGAGUCCGGAAGAGGUGGGUGGAAUUCCUAGUGUAGAGGUGAAAUUCGUAGAUAUUAGGAAGAACACCGGUGGCGAAGGCGGCGUUCUGGACUGCAACUGACACUGAGAGACGAAAGCCAGGGGAGCAAACGGG
rnacentral:rRNA from 1 species